UUUGCCAAAUAGACUCUCUGGGGGAGCAGACCAGGGCAUUUCGAUUUAAUAAGCCCUCUAGUGAGUCUUCAGGUUUGAGGAGGCUGCUAGGGAUUACCAAGGGCUCCUCAGAGAUUCCAACUCCCGGCAAGGGGGUUUAUUUAGGCUCAGGACUGACAAAGUCUACAUGUGAAUAGAAUCAUCCGUCUGGGAGAGUGUUAUGAUGAACUUCUUGGUGAACUGUUUUUCUGCUCCAGACAUUACCUCUUAGGGUUACAGUCCUCGAUUCUGCUCCCUCUCCUGGCCAAUUGCCCUUUCUGCCUGCUGUAGUUUCUCAUUGGGACAGAACAGCAGGGCAGCCAAGAUAGUGCCAGGAAACCAGCAGGAGGGAGCUAUCAUUACAGAGACAGUCUCCACGCCUUUCCAUCCUGGACUUUACCCAGCCACUGUGGGCGGCCGAGCUGGACCUCAGAGCGGCAAGUAUCCUGCACUAGGACAUCAUGGACAAAGAGGAUGGAGCACGGAGAGUUGGAGUUGGGUGCGUGGAGCUGGAGGAAUAGGUGUGGACGAGAGGAGACUCUGGGUGGGGCAUACAGCAAUGCUGAAUUAGACGCUUCGGACACUGUGCAUGUCUCGACUCAGUGCUCGCCAACAAGCUUGUGCACUGCGCAUGUGUUGACUCAGUUCCUCGUCACCAACCACGUGGGGCAGCUACUGUGACCCACAACAAGCCGAUGAGGGAACGGAGGCGCGGAGAAGACAAGCAGAGAAGACUUCCCACUGUCGAGAGAAAAGACGGUCUGGAUGCCCAGUGUGGGAAGGAACUGGAAACCACAGCUGUCCCAGUGCAUGGGACACAGGGCUUCCACAGCCGCUCAGCUCCAGCCAGCUCAGGGCUGGCUCCCGAGCAGUUAUCCAGUGCCAGCUCUGAGGAGAGAACACUGUCCCUGACAGGCCAUGUGCACCCCAGAGCCCACUGAAGCCCAGAUGUCCUGUUCUUGGGGCCUCUGGAGGUGCAUGUGAGGCCAGACUAUUGGAACAGACCCUCAUUGGAUGGAUGGGAGCGUGGAGUCCAGAAAGGGACGGCUACUCCCGCUAUCAGAAACGCUCUCUGGAAACAGGAGGAUGAACGGAGCCACCUGUGUUCCCAGGGAGCCCACCAUUUUUCCUCCUGCACUUCCUGGAAGGUCUCCUUGAAAACAAGCUUGGCCUGGGAGCUCAGGCUCUUAGGAGCUGGCUGCAGCUGGUCAGGAUGGAGAGAUGGCUCAGAAGCUGAGCGCUUCCUGCCGUCAGUUUGGCUCCCAGCACUCCCAUUCGGUGGCUCACAAACACCUGUGACUCCAGCUCCAGG